GCCAGGCACAUUGGCACACGCCUGUAAUCCCAGCAGCUUGGGAGGCUGAGACAGGAGAAUCUCAGUUCAAAGCCAGCCUCAACAAUGGUGAGGUGCUAAGCAACUUAGUGAGAUCCUGUCUCUA
rnacentral:sRNA from 1 species